ensembl:lncRNA
CAAUAAGGAAGAGAGAUAUUAGCAAACCAAACACAUCAAAUCCAUACACCUCUGCAGAGCUACAGAGCGAAAGGGGGUGCAGAGGAGAGGAGCCCGGCUGUUAGUCUGUAGACAGCUCUCAGCACGUGGUGGUUUACACACACAAGACGUUGUUUAACAACCGAGCGUUAUUGCUAUGCUUCCAUGUCCAGUCUAAUCAUUAACCUUUACAAGUCACCAUCAAACACUGCCCGUUCCAUCGGUGGCGGCGGCGGCGCUCCUCAGUCUGUGCUUUCAGGUGUGCGGCGCAGGUGGAAGCUGCGUGCGCCCUUUGGACUCCCGAGGAGUGCAGAGCACAGAUUAAAUGCACCUACAGGUCCCUGUUACUCCUUACAGGCUAAGGGCAAGCUUGCAGUGCGAGGGGGGAGUCUAUGAGAGCCCCCGCUCCAGGAGGUGAGGGCAGGCCCUGCCUGGGCCCCAGUGGCUCUCAGGCUCCCGGUGGCUCCAGCAGCCUACUCAGUAAAAAAUAGGAAUACUGUCUUUUUGAUUUUUUUUAUCAUUUUGAUCUCUUUGAUCAUUUUAUAUAAAUACAAAGAUUAAAAUAAUUUAUCUCAACAUUAUUUCUAUUACAAUCAUACAGUGUUUUCCCUUCAAAACAAGUGCAUGUAUGUGUGUGUAUAUAUAUAUAUAUAUAUAAGUGUAUAUAUAGUAUCUCUAGAGCUUCCCUCCCCCCUAAGAAAAGCAGCAGUGACUGAAGCAGGUACAGCACGCAAGAGCUGAUCCUUCCUGCUCCAAGGCAAAUGUGCCCAAGGAAAAGUGCAGGGCUCGCCCUGACAACUAAUUUCCAAGCACAUUACAUUGGCAUGAAGGGGGAACUGGGGUGCUCGCUCUCCAUCCCUUUGGAACCCCCCUCGCUGCAGGGGCUCUGCUGCCCACCCGGGCUCCAGACCUGCCCAGCACCGGGAGCACCGGGGAGGGACCUGCAUGGGGCACUGGAAUGAGAUCAACUCCUUGAGCAAGCUGCUAAUUACUGGUGCAGAGGAAAGGGCCCUGCAGCGCAGACAGGGUUGCUUCAUUUACAUACUAGGCACUACGGAUGAUGAUUGCUAGGAAGGUAUUUACACAGGAGAAGGGUCAUACUUCUCCCUCCACUUUCAAUGCUCAGUCAUAAACACCAUGAUCUCAUGAAGAAGUUUGUAAUAAAGAUGCAACAUACUGUGUCUAUCAGGAUUGUCUAGGAAGGAUGGGAAGCAGCCCUCCAAAGCCUGACUAGUCACAUAACAGCCAAAGAAAAAGUACAAAAGCCGCUAAUUUCUGCCCUGCUAGUGCAGCUCAAAUGCUUUGGGGUUUGUUUUUACCAAAGAGCUGGUUGGUGACUGCUGCUGUCAAUCUCAUAAAGCAUUUUAAUAGAGUAUAUAAAUAUUGAACUACAAAAAUAGACAGCUCUGACUGCGCGGGCACACUGAGGGUGAGAGCGGGCAGGCCAAACCUCGCUAGUCUAUGAGGGUGAUGUCUUUCAGGAGGUUUCAAACUGAACUGGAAGGAAACAGGGUCUGAUCUCACUCUGCAGCUCCCUCCUGCCCACACCAGCCGUGGAGGCAGUGGGUCCUGCAGGAGGCUGCUGCCCACCAGCCUGGCAGGGCUGCAGGCAGGGGCCAGGUCCCGGCGGGGCCAGCCAGGCUGGCAGCCCACAUGCCAGGGCAAAACCUGCUCCUUGAGCUGCCCUGAGUGGCACGGGUCCGGCAGCAGCGGGGCAGAGCGACCUUUGCCCUGCCUGGCCGCCAAAGCCCUCUCCUCCCUGCACUAUUUCACAACACCCAGGGAGUGAUUGUAAAACUGAGUUUGGCUGGAAAUGGGGCGAGGCUGCCCCAGCGGGGCCAAGGCAGCUGUACCGCCGCUGUUCUAAGAAGGAUGGGAGGCAAUGGGGGAGGACCAGGGGCUGCUCAGCCCUCAGCAGCAAGCCCAGACCUGGCUGGGGAUGUGAGUGAGAACCAAAAUGCUGGUGCUGAGGAGAGCCCUGUGCAGGGGGCACAGGGUGCAGCCUUGCUCCAGCAGCACAUGGAGCCCGGCUGCAGCCACUGAGUGUCCAGCAGGACUGCCAGUCUUGGCACUCUCCAGCUGCCUUGUCCGAGUCCUGUGUGUGAGCGUGAUGAGGGGAAAUCUGUGCUGGAGACAGCCAAACCGCUGCACAGGGGAGCAUGGGACAGGCCUGGCCAGCACAGCAGCACUGUCCUUGCGGAAGGGGAUCCCUCCGUCCCCCACAGGAUCGACCUCAUUCAGCUGUCUGCGUUCUGGAGAACCUUCCUGGUGAUGUCCUGGGCCCUGUGCUGUACAGCCUGCUGCUGCUGCACGCCCACCCCUGCACCCGGGCCAGGGAAAGCAACACUGCCCACUCUGAGGCAGCAGCAGCAGCAGGAAAAUCUCAUUUCAAAAAUGCUUCCUCUUCUUUCUUUCUUUCUUUCCUCUUUCUUUCUUUCUUUUCUUUCUUUCUUUCUUUUCUUUCUUUCUUUCUUUCUUUCUUUCUUUCUUUCUUUCUUUCUUUCUUUCUUUCUUUCUUUCUUUCUUUCUUUCUUUCUUUCUUUCUUUCUUUCUUUCUUUCUUUCUUUCUUUCUUUCUUUCUUUC